UUUUUGUAUGUCUCUCUUAUGAUGCCCUUGGUUUAGUUCAUGGAUCUCUCUCCUAAUGAGCUGAUGAUCUGAAUCAGGUGUGUUAUGAAGUAUAUGGAUAAUAUACAAAAUGUGCGAAGCAGUGGUACCCCAGGACUAGAAUUGAGGACUCCUCCCCUAGGGCAUUGGUCCCCAACCCUGUUCCUGGAUCCCACAACAUGUCAUCAUGAUUUGUGUCAUGUCUGAUUCAUGUCAUAAACUCAGUUUUAGACACUAGAAGACCUGCCAUGGGUGUGCCAGACAAAAGAGACAUAUAAAAUGUGUAGUGUUGUGGGGCUUCAGGAACAUUGUUGGGAGCCACUGCAUGAAAGUGUUGAGUCCACCCUUCAUCCCUGUCAUGAUGUGAAAAGAUCUCACUGAUUACCUCCGAAAAGCACAAAAAUCUUGGGUCGGCUGCACUGCCAAGCGGAUGUUUGCAGUGGUGGAUGGGAAUCAUAGCGAUUUGAUCGCCUUCUUGGAGUACUUGUGGUCCAAGAUCAACUGGACAAAGACGAGAGUGAAGUGGACCCUAAGAGGGGCAACCAGACGAUGAACACCACUUGAGGAGAAAAGCAAUUGUUGCUUUUGUCUUUCUGAUGUCUGUUGACUGUUUCGGCUCUCAUUCUGACGGCACCCAUUUACUGCAGAGGAUCCACUGCCUCCUGGAAGAUCAAAGCCUGGUCCGACUGUACUUUCCAACCCAACAGGACAAUCAACAAUCUCCGUCUCUUAUCACAGACUUUGUUCUAUUUUGUAUAGGUGCCUAUGAUGCUUUGCAAAAUGUAUCUGCCGCAUCUGAAACCUGGAGUCUGAGAGAGAAAAAAAGGGAUUGUAGGGUAAGACCACAGUGAAGAUUAAAAGCUGAAGCCAACAUCUGUUGAUUCGAAAGACGGACAAAGAAGACGCUUGACGCUUGGCAACCGCAAUGAUGAGGCCAAAUGACAUUCCUAAUGAUUGUGCACUUCAAAGUGCUUCCUCUGAGAACAGGGAGCAUGACUACAGAGGAAACUCAAGUAAAGUAUAUGUCAGACAUCUCUAUUUCAAUUGAUAUAUAAGAAUUGUGGGAUUUCACCAAAGGAAUCCAAACUUUUUCACUAGAUUAUCUGAUGUAGUAAACUUUGCCUUUUAUCAUGGACAUUUUAUGGUUUUAAUUAGUAAUCAAGAACCGAGUAAUGCUUAUUAGCGGUGUUGGCUAAGGCUAGCUACUGAUAUUACACAUACUUAAGGAUAAAGAUGGCAUGAAAUGAAAGAUUUAAAUGCAUGUAAUAGAUCAGUGAAAACGAAAACUGCUGUCCGGUAACGUAUGCCGGAUUCUCCAUUCAUUUAGUUGCAAUUCUGACUUUUUCCUUAGAAUUGGGAGUUUAUAUCUCUCAAAUGCAAGUUAAUAUCUUGUAAUUCUAAGUUUAUAUCAGAAUUACUGGGGGAAAAAGUUUGAAUAGUGAAAUACAGUCACUGGCUUCUUUAUUAGGUACACCUUGCUAGUACCAGGUUGGACCCUCUUUUUGGCUUCAGAACUUCCUAAAUGUGCCCCUAUUAUACCAUUUGUAAGGUUCUUAAUAUUGUUUGGGGAGUCUCAUAGAUUUACAUGCAUGCAGGGUCAAAAAACGCUUUUGUUUUCUCAAAAUAUGCAUUUAAUGUCACCUCAUUUUCCAACAAUUCUCAAACAAUUAGUUCAAAGCAGUUUUAAGAUUCAGGCUCUCUAAACCUCUUCUUUCCAUGAGCUUACUCUGCUCUGAUUGGUCAGAUGGCCCAGUCUGUUCUGAGUGUUCUACCAUGUACAGUGCGUGUUGGAAAUGAUACACCCAUUGUCAUAGUUCAUUUUGACCACUCGAUAGAAAAUAUAAAGAUCUAUUAUUUAUCAUACUUACAGAGUAUGAGUCAGUGGAGACAGCUGUUCCAAAUAAACUGGGUACUGAGCUCGUCUUUCAAGAGCAAGCAGUUUUGAAUCCCGCUUUGAACUCAAAGAGAUAAGAGAAGCAGUCGUCAGUAAAAUGACGGGAACACAAAAAAAGAUUGGGGUUGUUCUGCUGUGAAUUUUAACCACUGAAUCUUUGCAGCCUCAUGAUUCGGCAGUGAAAAUAAAAUUAAUUUACUUUCAGAGUGUAGGACACCGCAGCUUCUCGACAUGAUGUUAACCACACAAAGCUACAGUGUUUGAGGGUGGGUCAAGUUGUUCGCGGCCAGCCAACGUAGAACAUAGGUGGGCAUUAUGCAAUGUGUGUUACCCCGUGAAGUGUAGCUGCAACGGAAGUGAGGUUUGAAUUACUGAUGACUCGUUUAGCCUUUUCUGAGUCGUUCCUUUCUUUUGGGAGACAAUAAUCGUUCACUUUCGGCUUUACAACUUUGCAGAUCAUUUAUAGUCACUUACAGCUACAUAACACACUGCAUGAAAGGCAAUAUUCAUCGUAGCAUUGAUUCAGCAAGGUGCUGGAAACAUUACUCAGUUAUUUUGGUCCAUAUUGACAUGAUAGCAUCAUGCAGUUGCUGCAGAUUUGUCUGCUGCACAAUCAUGAUGUGAAUCUCCCAUUCCAACUCAUCUCAGUGCUGCUCUAAUGGGGGUGAGAUCUUGUGAUUGUGGAGAGCCAUUUGUGUUUAGUGAGCUCAUUGUCAUGUUCAAGAAACCAGUCUGAGAUCAUUUGAGCUUUGUGACAUGGCACAUGGAAGAUCUUUUUCCAAUCUUCUAUUGUCCAAUUUUGGUGAGCCUGUGUGAAUUACAGCCUCAGUUUUCUGUUCCUAGUUGACAGGAUUCACCAGUGUGGGCUUCUGCUUCUGUAGCUCAUCUGCUGCAAGGUUUGAAGUGUUCAGAGAUGCUAUUCCACAAACCUCGAUUGAAACGAGUGGUUUUUUGAGUUACUGUUGCCUUUCUAUCAGUUAGAGCCAGCCUGUCCUUUCUCAUCUGAGCAUUUUCAAGGCAUUUUCACCCACAGAACUGCCUCUAACUGGAUAGACAGCAAGCAAGCUCACUAGGUUUUGGAAAAGAGCCAUUAAGUCCAUUUAGGAAACGGUGAGAGCAUAAACAUUUAUUAUUAUUAUUACGCAGAGGUGUAGGAUUCUUGUAGGUUGGUAGUUAGCAUAGGGGCACUAUUGUCAGAAAAGUGAAAUCUGAUACCAGCCAGUUUAGAAACACUGUCUUACUAAUUAUUUGGCUGAUCUCAGAAAUUAUUCAAGACUAUUUAAAUUCUCAUUCCCUCAAGGCUUUUGCAAACAUUAUUUUUGUUUAUUUUAUUUUUUUUUUUCGUUUUUUUUUUCUGCACAAAUGAGUAGUGCCACACACCUUCAAUUGCGGGGUUGGGAUUUCAGAGCAUUCAUGCUAUAAUUACAUGUUUGUUUUUGUCAUUUCAAAUAGGUCUUUAAGAGAAAAUCAGUGGGACAGGUCAGAUAACAUGAGUUUUUAUCCCUGAAACAAUUGCUUGUGGAGAGGGAGGAUACGUUUAAACAAUACGAUACCAUUUGUUAUAUUGGAAAGUGUUGAAAUGAGCUGUGGGAUAUUGUCUCCUGUGAUGCCUGGGCUCUGGGCCAAGCUGAAAACUGGCAAAAUGUCUAAGAUGGCCAUUGAGAAAUAAACAUCUGCUCAUAACACUGCAAUUGAGAGAGAGAGAGAGAGAGAAUUUAUUUAAUUGAGUUUCAAUGUGAUUUUUCUUCUCUCUCUCUCUCUCUUUCUCUCUCUCUCACUUGGAACAACAAUUGGUGAUUGCAGUGCAUGUUAUGAGUGACCUGAUUUUGUUUUUGUGAGUGACUGGAUUUCAUGAAAUAUAUGUAUAUAUAACAACGUUCUUUGCGGCAAAGCUAAGGAAUGCAACAUGUAAUAAUUACUGUCUUACACAAUUUAGAAAAGCAACAACAAUAUAUACAAAGUCCAAGCUUACCCAUCUAGAAGCUAAUCAUAAUCUAAAGUGAUUUCAACUACAGUCAUGUCAUUAUGGGAACUUGUUUCCACCACGGAAUCAAAGAAAUUAAAAAGGUAAUCGUGACAUUUUAUCUCAAAUUCUGAAG